GAUGAACGCUGGCGGCGUGCUUAACACAUGCAAGUCGAACGAAGCACUUUGACCUCUUCGGAGCGAUGAGUGACUGAGUGGCGGACGGGCGAGUAACGCGUGGGUAACCUGCCUCGUACAGGGGGACAGCAGUUGGAAACGACUGCUAAUACCGCAUAAGCGCACGGUAUCGCAUGAUACAGUGUGAAAAGCUGAGGCGGUACGAGAUGGACCCGCGUUGGAUUAGCUAGUUGGUGGGGUAACGGCCUACCAAGGCGACGAUCAGUAGCCGACCUGAGAGGGUGACCGGCCACAUUGGGACUGAGAUACGGCCCAG
rnacentral:rRNA from 1 species